AGGACGAACGCUGGCGGCGUGCUUAACACAUGCAAGUCGAGCGGUGAUCCUUCUUCGGGAGGUGAUCAGCGGCGAACGGGUGAGUAACACGUGGGCAACCUGCCCCUCACACUGGGAUAACCUCGGGAAACCGGGGCUAAUACCGGAUACGACCUCGAGCGGCAUCUCUUGAGGUGGAAAGCUCCGACGGUGAGGGAUGGGCCCGCGGCCUAUCAGCUUGUUGGUGGGGUAAUGGCCUACCAAGGCGACGACGGGUA
rnacentral:rRNA from 1 species